GGUUGGGCAGUGAGGAGGGUGUGA
rnacentral:miRNA from 1 species